UGUAGCUUCUCCCAGAAUUGUGGAGGGAACAAAAUACACAAAAAAGCAAAAUUGAUUCUUCAUGUCUGCUGUCACAAAUACUCCCUUGAAAAAACAUAAUGGAGAUGCCACUCUAUAAGGAAGAGACUGAAUCUUGGGCAGUCAUGAUCAAACGAACACCC
rnacentral:lncRNA from 1 species